CGGAACGGGUGAGUAACGCGUGAGGAACCUGCCUCAAAGAGGGGGACGAACAGUGGAAACGACUGCUAAUACCGCAUAAGCCCACGGUGCCGCAUGGCACAGAGGGAAAAGGAGCAAUCCGCUUUGAGAUGGCCUCGCGUCCGAUUAGCUAGUUGGUGAGGUAACGGCCCACCAAGGCGACGAUCGGUAGCCGGACUGAGAGGUUGAACGGCCACAUUGGGACUGAGACACGGCCCAG
rnacentral:rRNA from 1 species